UGGCUGCUUUGAGAUCUGAGAAGGUUAGGUACCCCUCUUUUCCUGAUGAUUUCUCCCACCCUGCUACACUUGCCAGCACUGAGAGUGCUCCUUGUGAUGAUGCUUCACAAAAAUACCGGCCUCAAUUCCUACGAUCUCUAUCUGAGGUUGGAAGCAGUUCUGAGAUCAGUAACUGGCAUAGCCUUCGUUCUACAGACAGAACUCUGAGACGUCGAAGGACUCCACCCAUAGCUGCAUUGAGAUCUGAGAAGGUUACACCCUCUUUUUCUGAUGAUUUCUCCCACCCUGCUACACUUGCCAGCACUGAGAGUGCUCCUUGUGAUGAUGCUUCACAAAAAAAACGGUAAGUGGAACUUGCAUACCAUCAUGAUAUGCGUUUGUUUCUUUUUUGACAAAGAAAUUCUGUUAGUUUAUUGUCUAUCCCAGAUUCAUCAUUCUCUGCCGUUAAAAGAGACCAGUAUUGUGAAAUUGUCAGAUAUGAAGGAAACAGAACACAUGUGGUAUGCUUUUAUGAAUGGCCUUGUUUAUACCAGAGAAUUAGGAAUUACAAAAUGGGCUCAUUUUCAAUAAGCCCGAGCUAGUUGACCCAUUAUUUUUUCUUUCAGGCCUCAAUUCCUACGAUCUCUAUCUGAGGUUGGAAGCAGUUCUGAGAUCAGUAACUGGCAUAGCCUUCAUUCUACAGACAGAACUCCGAGACGGCCUCAACUCCUACGAUCUCUAUCUGAGGUUGGAGGCAGUUCUAAGAUCAGUAACUGGCAUAGCCUUCGUUCUACAGACAGAACUCCGAGACGGCGACGUCUACACUCAACAUAGGAGAAGGCUUCGGAAAACAUCACCGACAGAUGUAGCCGAAGAAAGAGGAUCUACUCUGCAUAAUGCAAGUAGAAUGAGAUACUGUACAGCCGGAAUCUUUCGCAACAUGAAAGGACACAUAUUUCUAUAGGAAAAAAAUUAAUUUGAUUGAAAUGUAAUGAUUCAGUGUUAAUAAUGAUAAUUUGGGUAAUAAUAAUUUGUGUACCCAUGGUAUUAGCUUCACCAGCGUUAAUGCCGUUCAUCGUCUCGAGGCCCUGCAAUUAUUAAUACCCCAUCAGUUGCCAGGUACCCAUUCCCACCUGGGUGGAGAGUGGCAGAUAUGGGUUAAUGUCUUGCCAAAGGAUGCUAGUACCAUGCUUGGAUUUGAACCCUCCACCCUUGGAAUGAGAGUCAAGUUAAUCCACCUCUAUACUACGACACCUCCACAUUUGUAUGGCGAUAGUGAUUCAACCAAUUUGUGGAACAGAACUUAUGCGAUUCUGAAAUUUACAAACCUUUCCUUAUUGUUUUUUGUUGUUGUGUGUUUUAGGUAACUCAAGAAUGAAAGGUGGACUUGUUGAAAAGAAUGAGGCUCUUUGUUGAAUUCUUUUAGAUGUAAGCUUUAAUAUAUCACAUUCUCGAGAAACAUAAAUCAAUUUUUUUACCUAUGUACCAACAAAAAGUUGUAAGGGUAUUAAUAAUUUAGUUGUUAACCAUACACAAAAGUUUCUGGUUUAAAGCAGUUAGUCGCUGUUUAGUGCAGGGUCAAGAGUGCCAAAUUUAAAUAAAUGUCUUGCCAUGGGAGAAAGUUAUUAGUCUCUGUCGGAGAUAAGAUAGAGCAAUGGAGUAUGUUGUAUUUCAAUGACAUUUUAGGGACCAAUCCAAUUGGUUCCAAUUUUAGAACUAUAUGUAUAUAAUUUGUUUUUUCAUUGAUUGAUAGUCUUCAUUCUGGUUUCAAAUCAUGUAUAUAAAAGUUUACCAUUACUUUAAAAGAAAUAGAAGAUAUAUAGGAUAUUCAUUUUAAAUGGGUUUCUGUUUCUGUUUUCUGUUGCUAAAGCUGUAAAUACUUGAAUAUAAAUAUGUAUAUUUGAUUGGGUUUGGACAAAACGUAAUUUAAAUGCCAUACUAUAUGGACAUAAAAUACCAAAGAGAUUCCGGUUAGAUAAUACAUGUACUUCAACACUGCCUCAAAUGCCUUUCAAAGUAGAGAAUAUUAUGUAAAGUGGGUCUCUGUUUUCUGUUGCUGGGACUGUAAAUACAUGUACUUGUAUGCCCUUUUGUUCAAGUAUGGUUUUAAGAAUAUACAUUUUAUGCCUAACAAUGCUAGUGAUUUGUUGUUACUGAGUGCAAAAUGUAUUUUAUGGUUAGGAAGAUAGAUAGUGAUAUGUAACUACAUUUGUAGAUAAGGUAAGUAUUAUUUGUACAUUGGCAGUAGUGAGCACAUUUUUUUUUUUUUUUGCCCUUAAAAAUUUAA